UACGAAGGGGGCUAGCGUUGCUCGGAAUGACUGGGCGUAAAGGGCGCGUAGGCGGAUCCCGAAGUCGGGCGUGAAAUCCCCGGGCUCAACCCGGGGCGGGCGUCCGAGACGGGGGGCCUGGAGUGGGGGAGAGGGUAGCGGAAUUCCCAGUGUAGAGGUGAAAUUCGUAGAUAUUGGGAAGAACACCGGUGGCGAAGGCGGCGCCCUGGCCCUUUACUGACGCUGAGGCGCGACAGCGUGGGGAGCAAACAGG
rnacentral:rRNA from 1 species